rnacentral:rRNA from 1 species
GACAGAGGUGCCAAGCGUUUAGGCGGAAUCACUGGGCUUAAAGCGUGUGUAGGCGGAUGCCUAAGUACCUUGUGAAAUCCCACGGCUCAACCGUGGAACUGCUUGGUAUACUGGGUGUCUUGAGCCAUCUAGGGGCUACCGGAACAAAUGGUGGAGCGGUGAAAUGCGUAGAUAUCAUUGGAACGCCAAUGGUGAAAACAGGUAGCUGGGGGAUGUGCUGACGCUGAGACACGAAAGCCAGGGGAGCAAACGGG